CGACGAACGCGCGUAUAUGGACCUGCAGACCGCAACUUUUCCAAAUCUUGUCUCUCUCAAUAAAUUCUACCCAGACUGUUAUGCAGACCAUUGCCCUCGCUGUGGCAGCUCGCCCACAAUCUUCUACGUCACGAUUGAGUGCACUGCAAACCUCUUUCCUUCCUUGUCAACUCUCCUUUACCCUCUACUUAACAAAGAGCUGUGGGAGGAUGCCCUCCGCGACGGACCACCCGAGGUUCUCGGAGCCAUGAUACAACGGGCUCGAAACAUCGCCGGAAUCAUCUUAGGGACCCCGGACUGAGGGUUCAUCCCACGCUUCUUUCUCCGUUCAAAUAUUAUUAAUAAAGAUGUUUUACUCUCUCUCUCCAGU
rnacentral:lncRNA from 1 species